CGAGGACGCGGAAUUCGAUUCCCAAUUUGACAUCUGAACUUCACUCUUGGUUCCGGGAAUUGAAAACUUGGAUACUUAUUUAUGUUUUCCUUUUGAAAUGUAUUCGAAUACUAUGACUUAUUUUGUGGGCUGUAAUGCGUUAAUUGGGAUAAUGUACUUUCCUUUUGGAUUGCCACUUGAAACUGAAAAAUGUGUAAACCCUAAUUUGAUUGCUUGGCUUGUAAGUUUGUAUUAGGGAUUUAUGUAUUUAUCUAUCCGGAUUGGUACGACUUUAUACCUUGGUACGUAGCACGUGGGACGUUUAAGAGCCUCAA